UGGUCCAUCGAUCCCAACGAUCAAUAAACUGUGUUAUUAAACAAGUUUGUUCGUUCGGCUCGAGUUAUCA
rnacentral:pre_miRNA from 1 species